AACUUUGCAAUGCGGGAAACCGUGACAAGGGAACUCUGAGUGCCCGUAAAAUCGGGCUGUCCAUCGGUUUAAAUAACCGGUGAAGAAAGGGCCGGGCAAGACCGGUGCCAGCCGCCGCGGUAAUACCGGCGGCUCGAGUGGUGGCCACUAUUACUGGGCUUAAAGCGUUCGUAGCUGGUCUGUUAAGUCUCUGGGGAAAUCUUCCGGCUUAACCGGAAGGCGUCUCAGGGAUACUGGCAGACUAGGGACCGGGAGAGGUGAGAGGUACUCCAGGGGUAGGAGUGAAAUCCUGUAAUCCUUGGGGGACCACCUGUGGCGAAGGCGUCUCACCAGAACGGCUCCGACAGUGAGGGACGAAAGCUGGGGGAGCAAACCGGAUUAGAUACCCGGGUAGUCCCAGCUGUAAACGAUGCGCGUUAGGUGUAUCGGUGACCACGAGUCACCGAGGUGCCGAAGAGAAAUCGUGAAACGUGCCGCCUGGGAAGUACGGUCGCAAGGCUGAAACUUAA
rnacentral:rRNA from 1 species